CUGAUUCCUAGGAUACUAGCAUGGGACUGAUCCAGACCCCAGGAAUCGUGGGUUUCAGAGAGAAAGGCAGUGUGCAUGGGCGUGGAUGAAUUGAAGUAAGUUCUGGUGAAUUUAACAUCCUUGCAUCCUGAAGACAAUGUGAUGGACAGAAACUGCUCCCCAAAAACUGACUGGAAAUUCUUCUAAAUGCUAUUCCUUCAGGUUGUCACUGCAGAGCUAUGAAGGCUGAGGAAUCUGUCCACUGUAACUGUGCCUUGCAUUUAGAGCUCGUAUGCUAUCUGUACCCUCAAUCCACUGCCAGUGACAUGCAUAAAAAGUGGGUGAGCAAGAGUUGUACCCCAACAAAUUCUGUCCAUGAUUUAUCCUAACAGUGAGUGUCAACCUGGGAUGAAUAUACAGGAUAUGAGGAAGGCUAUCACCAACAAAAUAUGGACAAGACCAGCAGGAGAAAUUCUCACAGCCUCUGAGUUAGUUUCUUAGUGUAUACUUGACAUGGAGGUAGGAGAUUUCUGUGGAUCAUGAGUGUAAUAAGUAUUGGGAGGAGUGUGCCCCGAUGUGUAAGAGAACGUUAUCAAAUGAG